AGCAGCCGCGGUAAUUCCAGCUCCAAUAGCGUAUAUUAAAGUUGUUGCAGUUAAAAAGCUCGUAGUUGAACUUCGGGAUCAAUGUUUCGGUCAUGCCGUUGGUAUGUACUGAUAUUAUUGGUUUCUCACCUUCUAAAGAACCGUAAUGCCAUUAAUUUGGUGUCACGGGGAAUUAGGACUGUUACCUUGAAAAAUUAGAGUGUUUAAAGCAGGCUCACGCUUGAAUACAUUAGCAUGGAAUAAUGAAAUAGGACAUCCGAUUCUAUUUUGUUGGUUUCUAGGAUCGAUGUAAUGAUUAAUAGGGAUAGUUGGGGGUAUUAGUAUUCAAUUGUCGGAGGUGAAAUUCUUGGAUUUAUUGAAGACUAACUACUGCGAAAGCAUUUGCCAAGGAUGUUUUCAUUAAUCAAGAACGAAAGUUAGGGGAUCGAAGACGAUCAGAUACCGUCGUAGUCUUAACCAUAAACUAUGCCGACUAGGGAUCGGAUGAUGUUAAUUUUUUAAUGACUCAUUCGGCGCCUUAC
rnacentral:rRNA from 1 species